AUUGAACGCUGGCGGCAGGCCUAACACAUGCAAGUCGAACGGCAGCACAGGAGAGCUUGCUCUUUGGGUGGCGAGUGGCGGACGGGUGAGUAAUGUCUGGGAAACUGCCCGAUGGAGGGGGAUAACUACUGGAAACGGUAGCUAAUACCGCAUAACGUCGCAAGACCAAAGUGGGGGACCUUCGGGCCUCACACCAUCGGAUGUGCCCAGAUGGGAUUAGCUAGUAGGUGGGGUAAUGGCUCACCUAGGCGACGAUUCCUAGCUGGCCUGAGAGGAUGACCAGCCACACUGGAACUGAGACACGGUCCAGACUCCUACGGGAGGCAGCAGUGGGGAAUAUUGCACAAUGGGCGCAAGCCUGAUGCAGCCAUGCCGCGUGUAUGAAGAAGGCCUUCGGGUUGUAAAGUACUUUCAGCGGGGAGGAAGGCGGUGAGGUUAAUAACCUUGCCGAUUGACGUUACCCGCAGAAGAAGCACCGGCUAACUCCGUGCCAGCAGCCGCAGUAA
rnacentral:rRNA from 1 species